rnacentral:rRNA from 1 species
GACGAACGCUGGCGGCGUGCUUAACACAUGCAAGUCGAACGGAGAAUUUAUUUCGGUAAAUUCUUAGUGGCGAACGGGUGAGUAACGCGUGGGCAACCUGCCCUUCAGAUGGGGACAACAUCCCGAAAGGGGUGCUAUUACCGAAUACGAUCACGCUGCCGCAUGGCGGGGUGAUGAAAGAUGGCCUCUAUUUAUAAGCUAGCGCUGAAGGAUGGGACUGCGUCUGAUUAGCUAGUUGGUGGGGUAACGGCCUACCAAGGCGAUGAUCAGUAGCCGGUCUGAGAGGAUGAACGGCCACAUUGGGACUGAGACACGGCCCAAACUCCUACGGGAGGCAGCAGUGGGGAAUAUUCCGCAAUGGACGAAAGUCUGACGGAGCAACGCCGCGUGAGUGAUGAAGGUUUUCGGACUGUAAAACUCUGUUGUUUAGGACGAAAGUGCCUGUUGCAAACAGUUGCAGGUAUUGACGGUACUGAACGAGGAAGCCACGGCUAACUACGUGCCAGCCGCCGCGGUAAAAC